GAUGAACGCUGGCGGCGUGCCUAAUACAUGCAAGUCGAGCGAACGGACGAGAAGCUUGCUUCUCUGAUGUUAGCGGCGGACGGGUGAGUAACACGUGGAUAACCUACCUAUAAGACUGGGAUAACUUCGGGAAACCGGAGCUAAUACCGGAUAAUAUUUUGAACCGCAUGGUUCAAAAGUGAAAGACGGUCUUGCUGUCACUUAUAGAUGGAUCCGCGCUGCAUUAUCUAGUUGGUAAGGUAACGGCUUACCAAGGCAACGAUGCAUAGCCGACCUGAGAGGGUGAUCGGCCACACUGGCACUGAGACACGGUCCAGACUCCUACGGGAGGCAGCAGUAGGGAAUCUUGCGCAAUGCGGGAAAGCCUGACGGAGCAACGCCGCGUGAGUGAUGAAGGUCUUCGGAUCGUAAAACUCUGUUAUUAGGGAAGAACAUAUGUGUAAGUAACUGUGAACAUCUUGACGGUACCUAAUCAGAAAGCCACGGCUAACUACGUG
rnacentral:rRNA from 1 species